AGCGAACGCUGGCGGCAGGCUUAACACAUGCAAGUCGAACGCAUCCUUCGGGGUGAGUGGCAGACGGGUGAGUAACACGUGGGAACGUACCCUUCGAUCUGGGAUAACUUCGGGAAACUGGAGCUAAUACCGGAUACGCCCUUUUGGGGAAAGGUUUACUGUCGAAGGAUCGGCCCGCGUCUGAUUAGCUAGUAGGUGGGGUAACGGCCUACCAAGGCGACGAUCAGUAGCUGGUCUGAGAGGAUGAUCAGCCACACUGGGACUGAGACACGGCCCAGACUCCUACGGGAGGCAGCAGUGGGGAAUAUUGGACAAUGGGCGCAAGCCUGAUCCAGCCAUGCCGCGUGAGUGAUGAAGGCCUUAGGGUUGUAAAGCUCUUUUGUCCGGGACGAUAAUGACGGUACCGGAAGAAUAAGCCCCGGCUAACUUCGUG
rnacentral:rRNA from 1 species